rnacentral:rRNA from 1 species
AUGGACCAUUCCAUUCCUUUUUCCCGUGCAUAUGCAUCGAACUCGGAUGACGAUGGUCCCGAUGAACAAGUUGAUGCGGAGGGGUUCACGGUGAAGGAGGCCGAAGCUUUCGAGAAGGUAUUCGGUCGGGAUCAUCGGACUACAUUGUUCAAGGAUGUUAGUCUCGUGGAUGAAGCCGUGGUAGAUGGUGGCCAAUGUGUAUCUCUUGGGGUUAGGCCAAGCUCUCACCGUGAUUUGGGAGACGACAAGAACCGGAUUGCUAAAGGUUCUAAGUUCGAAACCUUGUUGGAAUUGAAGAUGUGGCUCGACAACUACUCGGUUACGCAUUAUCGUCCACACAAGGUGGUGAACUCGGACGUCAAUGUGCGCUACACGGUUGCAUGUGCAUGUGAAGAUGAAAUAUGUCCGUGGAUUGUGCGUGCAAGACCAUGGAAAGGAGGUCCAACUUGGCAUGUAGUGAGUUGUGUGCCAACUCACAUGUGCCAAGGCAAAAGGGUGGAUGGCAAGAUUGUGUCCCAAGACCACAAACAACUCACGUCCGAGUUCAUCGCUUACAGGCUCUCCAACUCAAUAUCCACACUUCCAACAAUGAGCGUCCAACAUGUCAUUGACCUUGUGAAAACCAUCUUUCAUUACAAGGUGAAGUACGGCAAGGCAUGGAAGGCGAAGCAAGCCGCAUUUAAGAUGUUGUAUGGUACUUGGGAGGAAGCAUACAACCGAAUCCCUAGGUUGUUGUUAGCCAUGGCCGCGACAAACCCGGGCAUGGUUCAUGUGGUCGAGCCUCAUGGGCACCAAACAACGGUUCAUGAAGGAAGGAAAGUCUGA